GCCGUCGUCGUCCAGCCGGGCCAGGUCGCGGGUACGGACCCAGCCGUCGACGAAGACGUCGGCCGUUUCGACUGGAUCAUUCCAGUAGGCGGCG
rnacentral:tRNA from 1 species